UUCCUUUCCUGUGUCAUUUGCCGUUCUCAGAUGCACUAAGGCUGACUUCUAAUUAAAUGUCACUGUGUAAUUGUACUCAUUAGUUUUCUUUUGUCCUAUGUGAGUCACUACUCUGAAGAACACUGAGGUAUGCCUUCCAGAUCAAAGACUUUCCACAUUUAUAACAUUCAUGGGGUUUCUCCCCCAUGUGUUUUUUGAGUGAAAUAUUAGGCC